UUGACAGGCUCAAGGAAUGAAGUCAUCUAACUAUCUGUAGAACAAGUAGAAUGUCAAUACAAGUUUUCUUCCUAUUACCUCACUAAUGUGUCUGAACCCUGACCUGAAGGGGCCACUUCUUAGAGCAAUUCACUUUUUGUGUCCAUUAAAUCCUUAGCCUCU
rnacentral:sRNA from 1 species